rnacentral:rRNA from 1 species
GACGAACGCUGGCGGCGUGCUUAACACAUGCAAGUCGAACGGUAAGGCCCUUCGGGGUACACGAGUGGCGAGCGGGUGAGUAACACGUGGGUGAUCUGCCCUGCACUUCGGGAUAAGCCUGGGAAACUGGGUCUAAUACCGGAUAGGACCACUGCCCGCAUGGGGGGUGGUGGAAAGCUUUUGCGGUGUGGGAUGGGCCCGCGGCCUAUCAGCUUGUUGGUGGGGUGAUGGCCUACCAAGGCGACGACGGGUAGCCGUCCUGAGAGGGUGACGGGGCACACGGGGACUGAGUGACGGCCCAGAGUCCUACGGGAGGCAGUGGGGGGGAAUAUUGCACAAUGGGGGCAAGCCUGAUGAAGCGACGCCGCGUGAGGGAUGACGGCCUUCGGGUUGUAAACCUCUUUCAGCACCGACGAAGCGCAAGUGACGGUAGGUGCAGAAGAAGGACCGGCCAACUACGUGCCAGCCGCCGCCGUAAAAC